rnacentral:rRNA from 1 species
GAUGAACGCUGGCGGCGUGCCUCAAACAUGCAAGUCGAGCGGGGCUAUGUUGGACCGUAAGGGAAGAUAUAGCCUAGCGGCGAACGGGUGAGUAACACGUGGGUAACCUACCUGGAAGACAGGGAUAACGAUUCGAAAGGGUCGCUAAUACCUGAUAAUAUCUAACAGUCGGAUGGCAGUUAGAAGAAAGGGGAAACCCGCUUUCAGAUGGGCCCGCGUCCCAUCAGCUAGUUGGUAAGGUAAAGGCUUACCAAGGCGACGACGGGUAGCCGGUCUGAGAGGAUGUACGGCCACACUGGGACUGAGAUACAGCCCAGACUCCUACGGGAGGCAGCAGUUGGGAAUCUUAGGCAAUGGGCGAAAGCCUGACCUAGCGACGCCGCGUGAGGGAAGAAGGCCUUGGGUCGUAAACCUCUGUCAUGGGGGACGAAGGAAGUGACGGUACCCAAGAGGAAGCCCCUGCUAACUACGUGCCAGCAGCCGCGGUAAGUCACGUGUA